ACACAUGCAAGUCGAACGAGAAUCUACUGAAAGAGUUUUCGGACAAUGGAAGUAGAGGAAAGUGGCGGACGGGUGAGUAACGCGUGAGGAACCUGCCUUGAAGAGGGGGACAACAGUUGGAAACGACUGCUAAUACCGCAUGAAGCAUAGGGGUCGCAUGAUCUUUAUGCCAAAGAUUUAUCGCUUCAAGAUGGCCUCGCGUCUGAUUAGCUAGUUGGCGGGGUAACGGCCCACCAAGGCGACGAUCAGUAGCCGGACUGAGAGGUUGAACGGCCACAUUGGGACUGAGAUACGGCCCAGACUCCUACGGGAGGCAGCAGUGGGGAAUAUUGGGCAAUGGGCGCAAGCCUGACCCAGCAACGCCGCGUGAAGGAAGAAGGCUUUCGGGUUGUAAACUUCUUUUAAGAGGGAAGAGCAGAAGACGGUACCUCUAGAAUAAGCCACGGCUAACUACGUGCCAGCAGCCGCGGUAAUACGUGGGUGGCAAGCGUUGUCCGGAUUUACUGGGUGUAAAGGGCGUGCAGCCGGGUCUGCAAGUCAGAUGUGAAAUCCAUGGGCUCAACCCAUGAACUGCAUUUGAAACUGUAGAUCUUGAGUGUCGGAGGGGCAAUCGGAAUUCCUAGUGUAGCGGUGAAAUGCGUAGAUAUUAGGAGGAACACCAGUGGCGAAGGCGGAUUGCUGGACGAUAACUGACGGUGAGGCGCGAAAGUGUGGGGAGCAAACAGGAUUAGAUACCCUGGUAGUCCACACUGUAAACGAUGAAUACUAGGUGUGCGGGGACUGACCCCCUGCGUGCCGCAGUAAACACAAUAAGUAUUCCACCUGGGGAGUACGAUCGCA
rnacentral:rRNA from 1 species